AAACAAAUUACCUGUACAGUUCCUUCUUAUCCCCCAGUUUGAUCAGCAGGUCCUUGUUCAGCCAUGCUGGUUUCCUGCUACCUCUGCUUGAUUUCAGGCACUGGUAGAUGGAGAGCUCUUCAGCUAUAAGGUAUCCUUAAAGAGCUCAUAGUUCUGCUCUGUUCUUUUGUCCCUAAGGACAGUUUUCCAGGGGACCUCAUCCAAUAAUUCCUGAGUUAUAAGUUCACUCUUCUGAAGUUCCAGGCCCUAACUCCGCUCUUUGCCAGACUGCUUCCAAACUUUCCCAAACUUAACCUCUUUAAUGAUCUCCUCUACAUCGGUGAGUACCAGGUACAACAGUAGUGCUUCACCUCUUGUUGGUUUGUCUAAUACCCGGACCAGAAAGUUAUCCACAACCCAUUCCAGGUGUCUCCUGGAGAACAGCUUCUGCUUAAAUGUCCAGAAUCUCUAGAUCCCUUGAUACUUUUUUCUGUGGUGAUUAUUGAAUGGAUAAGCUCUUAAGUGCUAAACUCCAAAAACCAGAAUUUUUCUGGUAAUGGAAAGACGUAAGUUCUACUUCUGUACCCAAUCAUAGUACAAAAAUCUUGGGACCAAAAUAUGGCAGCUUUGGCAAGCAUUUGUGAAACGUGUUUAGAUUAGAUAGAUCGCAUGUAGAAGUGCGGGGGCAGGAACAGAAUUUCUUACUUUACAUGAAUGACUUAACAAAGCUUCUCCACUAACAUCCCUUGGUGAACUUUACAGGUUCAGUUCAACACAGGUUCUUUUUAGUACAAGAGACAAUUAAAGUGGUCCACUGGGAAAAGUCUCAAGAUAAAUUAUGUAGAGUACAAAUUUAAAUCCAAAAAGAAGAAAUUGAGGAAAGAAAAGCAAGGCUGCCGCCCAUGGUCAAUUCCACAGAGUUAAGACAAAAAUAUGGAGUAACUGUUCAGCAGUGCAGCAGUAAGUCAUAAAUUCAAGGCUUGAAGCAUUCUAUUACAAAUACAAAAAGGAAUUAAUAUAUAAAACAAAAAUACAGUGUAUUUGCUGGGGACAGCCAUAGAA
ensembl:lncRNA